UGAAAUCAAGAGUCAGAUGCUUAAAUAGACUGAGCCAUUCAGGUUUUGUUCAACAAAAUAACGUCUGACAGGAAAAGUAUCUUCUCUGCAUUUUGACACUCCACUUAGUGACUGAGAGCUGACUCGAGCCAGGAUACCUAAAUUUGAAUCCCGCCGCCUCCUUUCGCGUGACUUUGAGAAAGUUACUUACCUUAGUUUUCUCCUAUAAAAUGUAAAUAACGGUAAUACCUACCUUACUAGAUUGUUUUGAGAAUUGAAGACUGCAUGAAUUAGCACACAUGUAAGACUGAGAACACUUAAGCACUACUGUUUAGUCUAUUUUGGAAGCUCCUCUAAUAGAAGUGGCUUUUAAAAAAUUAUGUAUUUUUAGUUAUGGGGUAAAGCACUCUUAACUGUUCUCAAUAAACACUUUGUAAGGAAAAGUUAA